rnacentral:rRNA from 1 species
UACAGAGGCCUCGAGCGUUAGGCGGAAUCACUGGGCUUAAAGCGUGUGUAGGCGGACUUCUAAGUACCUUGUGAAAUCCCACAGCUUAACUGUGGAACUGCUUGGUAUACUGGUUGUCUUGAGGUACCUAGGGGCGAGCGGAACAAGUGGUGGAGCGGUGAAGUGCGUAGAUAUCACUUGGAACGCCAACGGUGAAAACAGCUCGCUGGGGGUAUCCUGACGCUGAGACACGAAAGCCAGGGGAGCAAACGGG